UACGUAGGGUGCAAGCGUUGUCCGGAAUUAUUGGGCGUAAAGAGCUCGUAGGCGGCUUGUCACGUCGGAUGUGAAAAUCCAGGGCUCAACCCUGGACCUGCAUUCGAUACGGGCAGGCUAGAAUUCGGUAGGGGAGACUGGAAUUCCUGGUGUAGCGGUGAAAUGCGCAGAUAUCGGGAGGAACACCAGUAGCGAAGGCGGCUCGCUGGGCCAUUCCUGACGCUGAGACGCGAAAGCUAGGGGAGCGAACAGG
rnacentral:rRNA from 1 species